rnacentral:rRNA from 1 species
CCUACGGGAGGCAGCAGUGGGGAAUAUUGCACAAUGGGCGAAAGCCUGAUGCAGCAACGCCGCGUGAGUGAUGAAGGCCUUCGGGUCGUAAAACUCUGUCCUCAAGGAAGGUAAUGACGGUACUUGAGGAGGAAGCCCCGGCUAACUACGUGCCAGCAGCCGCGGUAAUACGUAGGGGGCUAGCGUUAUCCGGAUUUAUUGGGUUUAAAGGGUGCGCAGGCGGUCUGUUAAGUCAGCGGUCAAAGCCCGGGGCUCAACCCCGGCCCGCCGUUGAAACUGGCAGUCUCGAGUUGGAGAGAAGUAUG